UUCCAGACUCCUACGGGAGGCAGCAGUGAGGAAUAUUGGUCAAUGGGCGCGAGCCUGAACCAGCCAAGUCGCGUGAGGGAUGAAGGAUCUAUGGUUCGUAAACCUCUUUUAUGAGGGAAUAAAGUGCGGGACGCGUCCCGCUUCGCAUGUACCUUAUGAAUAAGGAUCGGCUAACUCCGUGCCAGCAGCCGCGGUAAUACGGAGGAUCCGAGCGUUAUCCGGAUUUAUUGGGUUUAAAGGGUGCGUAGGCGGCACGGCAAGCCGGCGGUCAAAUCGCGGGGCUCAACCCCGCCCAGCCGUCGGAACUGCCGGGCUAGAGUGGGCGAGAAGUGCGCGGAAUGCGUGGUGUAGCGGUGAAAUGCAUAGAUAUCACGCAGAACUCCGAUUGCGAAGGCAGCGCACCGGCGCCCUACUGACGCUCAGGUACGAAAGCGUGGGUAUCGAACAGGAUUAGAUACCCCCGUAGA
rnacentral:rRNA from 1 species